UUAACGUUCCACAUUUUAUUGCUUCCUUUCGUCGAUAACUAGGCGACAUUAAUAUGUACUGGGUAUACUUCUGAACCGAAUCAAGUUAUUUGCCCAACACAAUCAUAAAAUUUAUUUAAACAAUUAAUGUGUGGUUUUGUUGAUUCAGUACAAACUUAAAGAGAUUAUAUCAAAGGACAUUAUAUCUUGGUGAAAAAUGACCCAUCAAGGAAUUUAUAAUUACUUUUCCAAAAUUAAUUCCAUAUCAGAAAAAAUUUCUGAUGAUAUAAACAGUGUGAAAUCCACUUAUAGUAAAGAUGACUGGAUUAAUUUAAGUUGGGUUGAACAAGAAAAAAUAUUGAACAAACAUUUAAUAAAUCGAGAAAUUUAUAUUAAAUAUUUUAAAACUGAACUGUGUUCACCCUUACAAACUAUUCCUAAGAAGAUACCAAAAAAAAAUCAUAUUUUCUGGAAAAAUAAUGAUUCUACAUAUUAUUAUAACGGACAAGAUUUACGAACAUAUGUUAAGCAGAAUGUUGGCCUUAAAGAACUACAUGAUGAAAUUAUUGAAAAUUGUCGUGAUGAACAUUCUUUUCCAUUUAGCUAUAGAACUGAGUCGCAGAUAAACAUGCCAGCCAUAAUUUGUGGUGCCGGCAUCUUUACUGAACCGUCCAAAAGCAGUUCAGUAACAAUUAAAAUUAAUGAUAGCCGAAAUAAAAUAAACGAUGCAUAUAAUCUUCAAAAAGAAAAUUUUAAAAUGGAAAACUGUAAUGGAUCUCUUCAUUCAUUAUCUAAAUCACAUCAUUUUACAUUUCCUUCCCAACGUUUAAGUAUAGAUGACUGGUCUGAUGAUGAAAGCGUGUUGAAAAAUACCUGUCAAGAUGAAAAUGUUAAGCUUUUAACUAGGGAAGUGAAAAUACCACAGGGGUUUGAUUUUCUUAGUAACUGGUAGAAGCAUAACUUACAAUAACUAAAUAUUGUAUUAAUUAAAUAGUUUUAAAAAAUAUUAAACAAAAAUGGAAACUAAUUCGUGAAACCUUAAGUUCCUAUAUCCUUAAAAUAUCGUUUUAGUUUACUUAAUUUCUUGUAAUCCCAAAUGAAUUUUGAAUAUACAUGCAUACAUCAAA
rnacentral:sRNA from 1 species